ACCAUUUAAGGAAAAAGAUAACCCACAAAAGAAUGGCUGAGAAUUAUCUCUCAUGGCCUUUAUUUUCUUCAUAUUAGAUCUCCAGAAAGCUAUUUGAAUUAAUUUUGUUAUCAUUUGCUAAAUCACUGGAGGCCAUGUCUACACCACCAAGAGAAAAAAGUUCAAAAACUCAUUUCAAACAGCUUCCUACCAAACCAGUCGGGGAUAUUCUAUACAGUAUACCAAUAUAAAAAAUACAGAAGAAUUAUUUGUUCUUAUCCUAUUCCAAAUUAUAUAAGUUGAUAACCAAAUGUUACCACUGGAAAACGUCUUGGAACUAUUUAAGUCUUUCUAUUGCACUUUUUCUUACAACUUUAAAAGACAAAAUUUUAAAAUCUGACCCCAGCCCUUAUGAUUGUUCGGUAUAUAAUCAGUGGUAUCCUACAAGGAAUAUUUUACUUGGAAUUAAUCAAAUUUCUUUCCUGCCAACAAUAAGUUAGGUUGUUUUUUGCAGUUCUCAAGUAACAAAUAUGAGGACCGAACUCUCAUUCAACAUCCAAGCCCUUGCAGUUUGUGCAAAUAUAUGUUUAGCAAGAAAGGACAGACAGAAUCCAUCAUUAGUAUGGCUUUUUACUGGAAUGUUUUGCAUUUAUUCAUUGUUCUUUGCUUGGAGAGCAAAUUUAGAUAUUUCAAAACCACUUUUCAUGGGUGUGGUGGAACGAUUCUGGAUGCAGAGCAAUGCAGUAGUGGCCGUCCUCGCUGGCAUUGGUUUGGCUGCAGUUGUGUCUGAGACUAACCGAGUGCUGAAUAUCAAUGGGCUUCAGUGUCUGGAAUGGCUUUCUGCAACUCUUUUUGUAGUUUACCAAAUAUAUUCUAAUUACAGAUGAUGACUUACGAGUGGUAUUUACCCAAGAUCGCAAAGCACUUGCCAGGUGUCAACUUUCCUGGGAACCGGUGGAAUCCUGUGGAAGGAAUAUUACCUAGUGGAAUGGUCACAUUUAAUCUUUAUCAUUUUCUUGAAGUAAAUAAACAAAAAGAAACAUUUGUUUGCAUAGGAAUUCAUGAAGGCGACCCAACCUGGAAAAAGAACUAUUCACUUUGGCCAUGGGGGUCUUGUGACAAAUUAGUUCCUUUGGAGAUUGUAUUCAACCCUGAGGAAUGGAUUAAACUUACAAAAAAUAUCUAUAACUGGACCGAAGAAUAUGGAAGGUUUGAUCCAUCUUCUUGGGAAUCUGUAGCCAAUGAAGAAAUGUGGCAAGCGAGGAUGAAAACACCGUUCUUCAUCUUUAACCUGGCAGAAACUGCUCACAUGCCUUCAAAAGUGAAAGCUCAACUCUACGCUCAUGCAUAUGACCUUUAUAAGGAGAUUGUCUAUUUACAAAAGGAGCACCCAGUGAAUUGGCACAAGAACUAUGCCAUCGCCUGUGAGCGGAUGCUGCGUCUUCAGGCAAGAGAUGUAGACCCUGAAGUGCUGUUAUCUGAAACCAUCAGACAUUUCCGUCUGUACUCUCAGAAAGCACCGAAUGACCCACAGCAAGCUGAUAUUUUAGGUGCUCUAAAGCACCUAAGAAAAGAACUGCAAAGUCUAAGAAAUAGGAAAAAUGUCUGAGACAGCAAAAUAUGAAAAACCUGCUCAUCAUUCAGCUUCCAAAAUUCUGAAGUCCGGAAAUUUUUCCUUCAAGAAAAGAAACUGCAUAAAAAAUUUAAAACUAAGUCAUUUCCCAGAUAUAAGUAUCAUGGUCCAGCAGUACUGUUUAAUGGGGUGUUCAGUGACUAAGAUGUACUGUUUAUGCAAAAUUCUGUUUAUCCCGUGUUACCAGAUUACCAUUUCAGUGAGAAGCUUUUGAAAAGUCUUCUGACUUCCAGUCUUUCACCAGAUGACUGCGCUGGAUUAGAUUCUAGAAGAGAAUGAACCAUUUUCAUAUAACUAAAUAUUGGUCAUGAACUGUGUAAGGGCCAUGCUUAUUGGGAUCAGUUUUAAAGUUAAAUUCUUUUGAUGUUAAUACCAGACCAAAGACAUUUUCUGUUUCAUGG
rnacentral:sRNA from 1 species